CUGCUUUGCUUGUAUUUUGUAUCUUGUCAUACGAAACACAAGUUUGUGUGGCAUUUACAACAAGUGAAGCUAUAUAAACAAGUUCCCCUCGCUAUCCGGUGAUGCUCCUUUCUAGUUCAUUUGGACGUUGGCGAACGACAUUC